UGUUUUUAAUUUCCAAGACCCUCCAUACCACUGCUAGAGACUACAAUUUAGCAGGUGGAUGCCAUGAAUAUUGUAGUCUCUAGCAGUGAUAUGGUGGGUCUUGGAAAAUAAGAACA
rnacentral:pre_miRNA from 1 species